CAGUGGGUCACUUUGGAGCCAACAAUUCUUGCUUCUUUAGGAGUCCUUAUGAAUUCUUAUCACUCAAACAUCUUUCUAGUUACCAGUUUCCCAAAGCAUACGUCGAUAAACCACCCUCUUUUAUUGAUGUGCAACUGGAAAAUGGGGGAUGAAGAAAGAGAAACAGGUGAAGUAAUGAAGAUGCUUAUUGUGGCUUCCUGUUAAUAUUCCAAGGCCUGAGGCUCUGAACAGCAGGAUGUCUGUUCUCCAGCUGUUUCUCCAACAGGAAGAAGGGAUAAAGUAAACAAAGCGUACACAGUAGUCCAUUGAAACCACAGGGAAAAAUCCGUCUGUGGAUAGCAUCGUCUGAGAAGUCUGAUGGAUGCUUAGUUUGACUUAAAGAUAAAAGGAUGCUUGAAACUCUGUUUGCCCAUCAUGGGCUUCAAUUCUAACUGGAAAGGCAGUGAAAUGCACUUUUGAAAGUUUAUGGAGAAAGACCAAUUCAAGCAAGUGAUUCAGAGAUUACAAGUAUCAUGAAAAACAGGAAAUGAGGAAGCAAGACUGUAAUGAAUCCUUAUAAAUGGGAUGGUAACAGAAGCCAAAGCAUGAGGGAUGUUGGAAAUUCAGUUCAACCCAGCAAGCUUCUGUUGAGUGCCACUACGUACAAGUUCCUGCUUGGUGCUGGGAAGGUUCAAAGAAAGCCAAUGCCCCUGUCCUUUGUCUUAGGUAGACAAUUUGGUCUUCUGUAUGGACAUGUUGAAAUCUUUUAGAACAUGCUGGAAAGAUGUUUCCUAAACUUCAGUCACUCCUCUGCCACUUCUAUAAUUCCCACUGUGAGCUACCUUUUAUUUGUUUGUUUGUUUGUUUUAGCCCAAAGGUUACUUAAAUAAAUUUAGCUUCAUCUUACAGCAAUAAUAUCUGGGAAAUCAUAGGUGUGAUAUGCGGGUUAAACCUUUCCAAAUGCACCUUCGAAUAAACAAAUCUUAACAAUAUCCUACCUGAAACCACUGGGUUCAUAAACAUUUAGAAAUUUAGAGCACUCUUGCACAUACUAUAUGUUGUUUAGCGUCACCAUAGGGGUGUAGGCAGCAUUGCACAAUCAUUCAUUUCCACAGUGAGACAUAUAAAUAUUUGCACUGGGUAGAAUAUGGAGUAAAUAAAGCUAUUGAAUAGCUUCAUAUCAAUUCAGUUCAGUAGGAAAACUUAGGCUUUCAAAGAUCUUUGGAUUUCAUAAGGAAUUGUGGUAAGUGCCAUUUCAAUUUUUUUUAAUGUUUAUUUAUUUUUGAGACAGAGAGAGACAGAGCAUGAAUGGGG